UUUUUUUUUUUUUUUUUUGAGACAGGGUCUCGCUCUGUCACCCAGGCUAGAGUGCAGUGGCACAAUCUCAGCUCACUGCAAUCUCCGCCUCCUGGGUUCAAGUGAUUCUCCUGCGUCAGCCUCCCGAGUAGCUGGGAUUACAGGUGCCCGCCACCACGCCCGGCUAAUUUUUUUGUAUUGUUAGUAGAGAUGGGGUUUCACCGUGUUGGUCAAGCUGGUCUCAAACUCCUGACUUCAGAUGAUCCACCUGCCUAGGGCUCCCAAAGUGCUGGGAUUACAGGCGUGAGCCACCACACCUGGCACUUGUCCCAUAUUCUUGCUGCCACUCAUUAAACUCAUCCAGGGAUGUAUUCAUUCAACAAAUACUUGUUAAACUGCCCAGUCUGUGUCAGGCACAUACAAAGAAGCAGCCAUCACCGAGCCCUCAAGUAGAGUGGGCUGGGCAGCAGGGACUGCAGUCAUCAACAAUAGACAUAGAGUUGUGUUAGAGGGAAAGUAUGAGAGCAAACACUAUACUGGCAAAGGAAGGAGGCUGUCAGGUCCCAAUUUUGGCUCUGGCACUUACUAGCUCUUUGACCUUGGGCAAUGUACUUAGCCUCUCUGUGCUUCAGUUUUCUCAUCUAUAAAAUAAAAAUAAUAACUUGUCUCUUAGGGUUACUGUGAAGACUAACAGUAAAACUGGGUUGCUAUAUGUGAAGUACUCAGAACAGUGCCUUGCACCUAGUAGGUGCCUCAUAAAUGUCAGCUGCAAUAAUAAUGCACAUAGAGCCUGAGGAUCACACAGGGAAGAGAAUUAACUCUGGCUGGGGUUGCCAAGAAGGACUUCACAGAGGAAAGGCAUUUAAUCUGGGGCUUAAAGGAUACCUAGGAGUUUGCCAGAAAAGGAAGAGAAUCCUAGGCAGAGUAAGAGCAAGAACAAGGCUGUGGAAGCCUGAGAAGAUGUGGAAAUGGAUCGCAAGUGGGGGCACUGAUUUUCGGGGGUUGGGAGAGGCAGAUGUAGCUGGAUCAUCUAGAGGGCUUUUCAAGCUACCCAUCUGCCCCCAGGACCUCUGAAACCUCUGCACAUUUUCCCCAUGGGGUGGUUUCUCUGCCCCACCAAGGACCCCUGCUGCAGGGGGUCCUCGGUGCUACUUGUUCAUGAGUAGGUCAGGUUCCCCCAGCUACAGUGGGGUGGGAAAAAGACAAGAACCACCAGUGGGAGCCCAGGGUUUGUGGAGUAGGUGGGGAGAAGAUGGCAGGAGCUGCAGGGGGUCCACCUUAUGAAAGUUCUCACGGGCCAUGUGAAGGUGUUUGAAUGUCUUCCUCUGGACCAAUGGAAGUAUUCUGAGCCAGAAAGUAACCUGCUCUGAGAUACUUUUGAGAAAGAAUAUCCCUGUGGCAGCUUUGGAGAAUGGAGUGAGGCAGAGACUGGGAAAGUGUCUGGAGUCAAAGGCAGUGGUGAGGACUGAGAAAGGGCUGAGGUGGAGAGGCAGCAGGAGGGAGGAUUCAGGAAAUGACAGGCAGAACUGGAUGACAAGCUGGGUUUGCAAGGUGCCCGAAAAGACGGUGA
ensembl:lncRNA